CCCCAAAAAAUGUCCAUGACCUUAGGGGUUCCAAAGGUUUUUCACUCAGGCCCUACUUCCAGCAUUGGGGAACACUCAAAAAAUGUUGGGAUCAACAAGGAUUCUUAGAAGCUCCUCAAAGUUCUUUUAACAACCUUAGGGUUCUUGGCACUGAAAAUGGCUCCCAAAAGGUUCUUCCAAGAACCCCAUAGGAGGUGGGGUUCAUCGAGGAACCUCUUUAGUUGGUGCAGGCACUUAACUGAAAAAUGUUACGAUCUCUUCAAUUUAAGGUAUACAGACGAGAAGGCAUGCAAAGGCAUGUUAUGCAGAUCACAUUUACCAUCCUCCUCCCUUACCUCUUCAAUAAAUAUCCCAUAGGCCUCUACAUUAUGGACAAGAGAGGGCGAGAAUUGAGUGUUCCCGCAGGACCCUGGAGGUGUGGGGUGAGACAGAGCGCAGCAUGCCAGUAGAUGAUCCAGGUCUUGGACACUCCAACUGCUCUGGAGAGGAACUCUCCAGGCACGGAGCACGGUCCCCCAGAACGCUGCUCUCUACUUCCUGGCCAGGACCAUAGUUGGGAAACAAGUAACUGAAUAUCCUUACUGCUUCCAGGAGAGAGGAGUGCAGAACAACUCUCCUUGACUUCAAAUAAUAAAAAGAGAAGAGGAGGAGAGGAGAGGACAGGCUGAUCAUAAAGAAGUGUGUGGGGAAUUGUCCAGGCUGUUUGCUAAGAGGCCCGGUGCUGUCCAAAAAGAACUGCUCUCCUCUCUCAGGCUAAGGCUGAGUCCUGGUCUGCCAGGAAAAAUAUUGGUUCUGAAUGAGGGGAUGCAGUACUAGCAGGUCUCUAGAUAGUACUCUCUCCGCCAUAUUGGAUCAUCUCAUGUUUGCGUACAAUAUUGAUGUACAGCUGGCUUUUACUGUUUACCUGAGGUACUGUUCCAGAUUCUACACUUAACCCAUACUAGCCUCUACACAUGUUUUAUAGAUGAUUAUAUCAGACUAACAGUCAUCUACAUCGCUUCACAUGAUUAUUGAUUUGAAACUGGACAAACUCCCAUACACUACACAUACCAUAUAAUGUAUCACCAAAAUGCAUUGUUUCAGUAAUGAUAUACUAUCAAAAGUAACAUCCUUUAUCCAUGUUCAGCAUGCCAGAUUACAACAGCUUGACAGUAGCUUCCAUCCUUGUACUACAAACAAACAGAAGUAAGACAUUCUCAUCAGAGUAUCUUCAACAGAUGGGCCUGUUUAGUCACUCCAAGGUCCAUACGUCUGCAGAUCUCUUUUCAGUGAGCACUUUGACGCAGCAGCAUAAUACCAGGAUCAACACAAGCGUUGCAGGCACACAAGUGGAGGAAGAGGAAACAGAGCUAGAGAGAGCCGGGGAGAGGUAGUAGGAGCGGAGUGUUGGCAGAGUGCUGCAAUGUUUUCACAGCACAUUACGUUUGAGUACACAUCAAACACGCCACGCACCGCUCUUUGAUUGUCUCUGGCGGGACCCGUU